CAGCCGCCGCGGUAAUACGGAGGGUGCAAGCGUUGUUCGGAAUUAUUGGGCGUAAAGCGCGUGUAGGCGGGAAGGCAGGUCAGGUGUGAAAUCCCUUGGCUUAACCAAGGAACUGCAUCUGAAACCAUUUUCCUCGAGUACGAUAGGGGAGGGCGGAAUUCCCAGUGUAGAGGUGAAAUUCAUAGAUAUUGGGAGGAACACCAGUGGCGAAGGCGACCCUCUGGAUCGAUACUGACGCUGAGACGCGAAAGCGUGGGUAGCAAACAGGAUUAGAUACCCUGGUAGUCCACGCUGUAAACGAUGUGCACUAGGUGUUGGAGGUACUUAAUCCUCCAGUGCCGCAGCUAACGCAUUAAGUGCACCGCCUGGGGAAUACGGCCGCAAGGUUAAAACUCAAAGGAAUUGACGG
rnacentral:rRNA from 1 species